UACGGAGGAUGCGAGCGUUAUCCGGAUUUAUUGGGUUUAAAGGGUGCGCAGGCGGCGUGUCAAGCAAGCGGUAAAAUAGCGGGGCUCAACCCCGUCGAGCCGUUUGAACUGGCGCGCUUGAGUUCAGGCGAGGUAGGCGGAAUUCGUGGUGUAGCGGUGAAAUGCUUAGAUAUCACGAAGAACCCCGAUUGCGAAGGCAGCCUGCCGCAGCGUUACUGACGCUGAAGCUCGAAAGCGCGGGUAUCGAACAGG
rnacentral:rRNA from 1 species